GGCUGCCUCGUGAUCUGAAACAUGAAGUUGAAAAUGGUGAGUAUAAACCCAGUGAGUGAACAAGGAAGGGAACAAGCAUACCAUAAGGAAUCUUUAAUGAAAUCAUGAUGCAUUCUUUUUCAAAACAAUGUAAUUUGUUUCGAUUCUUACUAAAAACCCCUCACCAAACCCUUAAUUGAUUGAUCAUUUGAAAGUCAUGAAUCCAUACACAACGAACCAGUUGAAGAAUGAAAGCUUCAAUGAUACGUAAGCAAGUCAAAUAUGACAACGAAUCUUUGGUUAUUAGUGAGAAUGCCUUUCCGCUGUAGCGACGUUGGGAUUUGGUUAUUAGCCGACCGAGGGUUUCUCAACUGGUCGAGGGUUUCUCACUAAACCUCCUCAUUUUAAACUAAACUCAUUUAAUCCUUAAUGUAGGAAGUCCAUGCUCUGAUAUGGUAGUAAAUAAGUGAAAGAUAGGGCAGCAAUUGGACAAGAUAGGAGACCAAAAUAGAAGAUUUUUCACUGCAGCGAGAUUCUUUAUCGCUGCGGUGAAAUUGUAACCCAGAAACAAAAGGUUUCUCACUGCAGCAAAAUUUCGCUGAUGAAACAGAGAGUUUUUUGCUGCAGCGAGAUUUCUUUUUCGUUACAGCGAGAGGUUACGGUGACUAUCUCGCUGUAGCGAAAUACAUUCUCGCUGCAGCGAGAACCAGUUCUGGUGAAGGUUCUCAAACCCGAGAGUUUCUCGCUGCAGCGAGAAUGAAUUUCGCUGCAGUGAAAACAGAGCAACAAGAGAAAAGUUUCUCCUCACUCAACAAAAAAGGCCAUCCUACUAAACCAACAAAAUCAACAUACAGCACAUGAAAAUUCCCAAAGUACAAUGUAUCAAAUUUCUCAUAUAUGUCAAUCAUAUAUCACAUUCAUAAGUUUUCAUUUCAUAAGUCUAGAUAUGCAUAAUUACAUAGAUAAACAUCAUCAUAAACACACCCGGCUCAUGUACAUCCCCCCACAUCGUGCACAAUCAGUGCCAUCGUGUACAUCCCCCCACAUCGUGCACACGGGUACUAUCAUCAUCCAUCUCUCACGCCACCAUCAUCACCGGUAUGUGCAUCCCCCCACAUCGUGCACACACACGGUUACAACCAUUAUACACAAUAUCAUUCAUCAUGCACAACACACACACAUUUAUAUAUCAUCAUACUACAAUAGUGCAUGAAUCUAUAGCAAUCACAUAUCACAAUAUAAAACCAUUUUGCAAAAGCUUGUUCCCAAGGCACUUGUCUUUAUGAAAAACUUGAUAAUUCAUUCAAAUGGGUGGCAAAUACAUUAUAUUUCCCAAAACGAAUUUUGAAGGCAGUCCACUCACCAAUUGAUUGUAGAGCCUUUAGAUGACUCCAAUUCCCCUAAUUGUCCAAAUGAGAUGAUGGGGCUUCCUUAGAACCUAGGAUCACAUUAGCAUAAGCAAUAGGUCAAUUUACACACUAUGAACCCUAAAAGCUAUCUUUUAGCUAGCUUUCAAUUGCCACAUUAAAUGGCCAUCUAUGUUCACUAUCUAAAUCACUAAAAGUAAUGAACAUAAUCAACAAUAAAACAGCUCAUAAAUCCCAAUUACUAGCCAUUUUCUGCAGCUAAAAACCAAGCUUAAUUCAUCACUUACCCUAGGGCUCAUUUGUAGUCAAAUUCUCUUCCAAUUGCUUCCAAAUAAAUGGUAAAAUUUUUUUUCUCUCUCUAAAACAUCCAACUAGUGAGAGAAAGUACAGAAAUGAGAUUUAUCAAGGGUUUUGAAGUGAGAGAAUGAAAUAGCACAAGGGUUUAUGGAAGGGUGCACCAAAAACAUGUAAAUUGGAGCUAGAGAGAAAAAGUUAUGGAAGCUUGAAGAAAACUCCCAUGGAAGAAUUGAAGAAACGUGAGAGAGGAGAAGGGAAGAAGAAGACAG
rnacentral:lncRNA from 1 species